rnacentral:rRNA from 1 species
UACGGAGGGGGCGAGCGUUAUUCGGAAUUAUUGGGCGUAAAGGGUGCGCAGGCGGCGUCGCAAGUCAGGCGUGAAAGCCCCGGGCUCAACCUGGGAACUGCAAUGGAAACUGGCGGGCUUGAGUGUGGCAGAGGGGGGUGGAAUUCCGCGUGUAGCAGUGAAAUGCGUAGAGAUGCGGAGGAACACCGAUGGCGAAGGCAGCCCCCUGGGCCAACACUGACGCUCAGGCACGAAAGCGUGGGGAGCAAACAGG